rnacentral:tRNA from 1 species
AUCCGUAGCUCAGUUGGUAGAGCAGAGGACUGAAAAUCCUCGUGUCGCUGGUUCAAUUCCGGCCGGAUCC